rnacentral:lncRNA from 1 species
UAAAAGGGCCUGAAAAAGGGCAUUCCCAGCCCUCACUUUUUUGGUGAAUUAAAAUCAAGUGAAAAAUAAACGCAGGAGUCAGAUAAAGUGACUUAGAAAUAUCAGCUUUAUUACUGCUGAAACCUAUAUUAGAGUAAGGGGAUUUUCUUGUUGGGCAGCCAGGUGGCCUUUCUAAUGCUAUACUCCAGGCUUAAACUCACCCUUUAGUCAUGGCCCAUGCUGGACAACUCCAGCUUCCCCUGUGGGGAUGAGUUAGACCCCCUUUCUACUAGCAUGGGACCAGGGUGAAGCAAGCCAGGCACUAAGGUGAGAAUUUAAGGAGGGCUGAAUAAGGGCAGGGCUGGCCUAUAGCUGUUUGAUUUGCACAUUAGAGGCAAGAGGAAGGCACUGAACCAAGAUUUCUAAUUCUUUCUCCCAACCUCACUGUGACAAAGGGAAGAGGAGUGUGGAUAGGAGAAGAGUCGUAGUGUUCACAUGGCAGAAGUCCUCUCCCCAGAAACAUUAGGAUGAGAAAAUGUUUCUGAUAAUAACUGCUCUUAAUAUUUUUGUGUAUUUCCUAUCCAUACUUUAUUAGGUAUGUUUUUACAUACAUAGUAUAGACACUGCUCUAUAGUGCUUCUCUUUUGUUUACUUUAUGGCAUCCCUUAACCCACUUUAGUACAUAAUGACUGUCUUAGCUUGGAUUGCUGUAACAAAGGACCAUAGACUGA